rnacentral:rRNA from 1 species
UGUUUUUCGACCUAUCAUGAAAAAUAAGAUCUGCCCAAUGAUAAUAGUUGAAUGGCCGCAGUAUUUUGACUGUGCAAAGGUAGCAUAAUAAAUUGUCUUUUAAUUGGGGUCUGGCAUGAAUGAUUUUAUGAUAAUCCUACUGUUUUUUAUUGUAAUGUGAAUUUUUAAGUUAGGUGAAGAUACUUAAAUAAUUAUAAAAGACGAGAAGACCCCGUCAAGUUUAAUAUUUUACUUGAUUUUAGGAUUGAAUAUAUCAUUAAUAAAUAUUUUAUUGGGGCAAUUGGAGAUUUAAAACUCUCUUUAUAAAAUAAUAUUUUUAUUACAGUUGUUUAAUGAUCCAAUAUUUUGAGUGUAAGAAUAAAUUACUGUGGGGAUAACAGCGUAAUUUUUUUAUAGAGUUCUUAUCGAUGAAGAAGAUUGCGACCUCGAUGUUGGAUUAAGAUACCUUUUUGACGCAGCUGUUGGAGGGGGUAGUCUGUUCGACUAUUAAAUUCUUACA